rnacentral:lncRNA from 12 species
GGCGGCUGUGCAGCCCUACUGUGUGCGGUGGGAAAGAGGCCGGACUCCGGAGGCCCCAGCUGGCCCCCUAUUAUAUUGGCUUCUAUUAAAUUGAAACACAUAGCACAUCUAUUACACAAUAAACCACAGCUAUUUCAUGGAUCAAAUUAAGUUUUAUUUGGGCAAAUUACAACCUUUCCUACAGUCGUGCCUUUGUGAGGCCAUUCCUUUUUAAUAAAAGCAAGCAUUUCUGGGGCUGGCCCGGCUGGACCAGAGCUCCGUGGUGGGUUGGGGGCUCAGGCCAGGGCUGGCAAGAGGGUGGGAGUGUGUGUGUGUGUGUGUGUGUGUGUGAGAGAGAGAGAGAGAGAGAGAGAGAUGGGAAUUCUUGGGGCCCCUCUGGGGAAUGGAUUUGUCCAUCUUUUCCCGUUGCCUCCCCAUCCCGAGGUUACCAUGGAAGUCUGCAGAGAAGUUCUCAUUUAACAAGAAAAAGGCGGUGGCAGGAGCAGCAGCAAGAAAGCAUUUCCCGGAAUCCAGGAGGAAGCGUUGGGACCAUGGUGUCAGUGCUCUUGAAGAAGAAAGAGAGGCACAGAGGAUGGCAUCUUGGGGCCAGCGGGAGGAAGCACAGACCCGGCUCUGGGCCUGGAGGCAGAAGAGUGGGAGACUCCGGUGGUACGAGGUCUAGGCGUGGCACCCCCUCUGCCCUGGACAUGCUGAGUGACUUGAAGCCUCCAUUUCCCCAUCUGCCAAGUGGUGGUGAGCACCUGACCUACGCUGAGCCAAUCAGUGUCUUCGCAGAGAAUUUGGAAUCGGAACCAAAAGACUUGGCGAAAGGCCAGCUGUCUUCACAUCUAGAGGCCACGUCAAGCCGGGAGUUGCUGACAGCCGUGCUUUCCACUCCUGACCGGAGGAGUGGACAGAGCCAGCAGACAGCGGCAAGGUAG